rnacentral:snRNA from 1 species
AUUGAAUUCUAAAAUAACACUGU